UGCUGCUGGAAUGUUGCUACUUAGAAAUGGAAAGUUCACAAUUGGAAAGCUGAAAUCAUCUCUUUGAAACUGACAUUAUUAUGUUGUACUGUUAUACCACUGUCCCAGGUUAGGGGAGGGUUGGGAUCCCGCUAACAUGUUUAACCCCGCCACAUUAUUUAUGUAUGUGCCUGUCCCAAGUCAGGAGCCUGUAAUUCAGUGGUUGUCGUUUGUUUAUGUGUUACAUAUUUGUUUUUCGUUCAUUUUUUUUUUUACAUAAAUGAGGCCGUUAGUUUUCUUGUUUGAAUUGUUUUACAUUGUCUUAUCGGGGCCUUUUAUAGCUCACUAUGCGGUAUGAGCUUUGCUCAUUGUUGAAGGCCGUACGGUGACCUAUAGUUGUUAAUGUUUGUGUUAUUUUGGUCUUUUGUGGAUAGUUGUCUCAUUGGCAAUCAUACCACAUCUUUUUUUUUUUAU
rnacentral:lncRNA from 1 species